rnacentral:sRNA from 1 species
GACAAGAAUACCAACGAAACACAAUCAAUAGUGCAAUGACAGUAAAUCUCUGGCAACAAACUGAACAGUUUGUAGGAGGUUCCGGGGCAUACUCCAAGAGCCGUGAAACUUCAAAGACUCCUGCAAGCAUAACUUGAAUAUCUCCCAACAACGAAUAUCCAUAUAUGCCUCAAUCCCCUCGAGUUGUGGUGUCUUUCCAUCGCCCCACUUUUUCUUCCCAUUCGGAGGAAACAACAAUGUCACGAUCCAAUCAUUAAGGUAAGAUAUUAGUCUUGGA